GCCAAUGUAGCUCAGUGGUAGAGCGUUGGCCCAUGCACCGAAGGGUGAGAGGUUCAAUUCCCGGUCAAGGGCA
rnacentral:tRNA from 1 species